UACGUAGGCAGCAAGCGUUGUUCGGAGUUACUGGGCGUAAAGGGUGUGUAGGCGGUUGGAUAAGUGUGGUGUGAAAUCUCCCGGCUUAACCGGGAGGGUGCGCUACAAACUGUCUGACUAGAGUGUGGGAUGGGUAAGUGGAAUUCCUGGUGUAGCGGUGAAAUGCGUAGAUAUCAGGAGGAACACCGGUGGUGUAGACGGCUUAC
rnacentral:rRNA from 1 species